ensembl:lncRNA
GACAGAAGGCAAAAUAAUAAAAUGUACUCGUGGGGAAGAGGAGAAGAUUGUUUAUAAAGAAGUAAUGAGCAGUGAGGCAAAGAAGAGAUCUAGGCAACAGCCCAAAAAAGUGCGGAAGAUCCAGAGAUGUAAGCUCCUACACUCCUUGAAAAGAUGGCAUUUUCUAGAAUUCCUUAUCUCAACAUGCUGUGCCUAGCUGCAAAGAAGAUAAGAUUCAUGAGAGAAUUGUUAGAAAUAUGGGUUUUGCUCAUGUAGAAUCACAGACCUAAGUGGUUUAAACUAGCUAGAAGAUGGUGGAUUACGUUUCUUCAUUGUUAGUGAAUGAUAUACAUAGAUAAUCUAUGAGUUAGUGGCUCCAAUAAACUUGUAUCUGCAGGUAAGUUUGGAUUUGAUGCAGUGGGAAGUUGGGAGUCAUUAUGAUUGUCUAAGCUGGUGAAUAACUUGGUGGAAAACAUUUUCAGAAGGUUAAUCUUAUAGUAAUAUGGGAACGAUUUGAAAGAACAAAUGGAAGGCUGCAAGAUCAUCUGGGACAGGGGUGCCCAGCCUCCAGGAUCUAAUGCCUGAUAACUUAAGGGGGAGCUGAUGUAAUAAUAAUUGAAAUAAAGUGCACAGUAAUUGUAAUGUGCGUGAAUCAUCCUGAAACCUCCUCUAGCCAUCCAUGGAAAAUUUAUCUUCCAUGAAACCAGCCCCUGGUGCCCAAAAGGUUGGGGACCACCAGUCUAGGAGACAGUUUUGGGAAUCUAGACACAAAGAUGAAAUGAAAAGUGAAAAUGAAAGUCACUUAGUCAUGUCUGACUCUUUGGGACCCCAUGGUCUAUACAGUCUAUGGAAUUCUCCAGGCCAGAAUACUUUCCCUUCUCCAGGGGAUCUUCCCAUCCCAGGGUUUGAGCCCAGGUCUCCCACAUUGCAGAUGGAUUUUUACCAGCUGAGCCUCAAGAGAAGCCCGAGAAUACUGGAGUGGGCAGCCUAUCCCUUCUCCAGCAGAUCUUCCCAACCCAGGAAUUGAGAACCGGGGUCUCCUUUACCAACUGAGCAAUGAGGGAAGCCCUUGGAGCUGGACAAACUUGAGAGAUACCUGUAAUGCACCAAUCAAUUGAAGCUGCGAACUCAUCUAAAUAGAAGAGGAAGAAGAAUCAAAGAUGAGUCUGAAGGAUUAGUGAGUGGUGCCUUUUGUAUAAAUGGAAAAAUAGAAGAGUGACCUCCCAGGUGGCACAGUUGAAAGAAGCUGCCUGCCAAUGCAGGAGAUGCAAGAGACUCAGCUUCCAUCCCUGGAUUGGGAAGAUCCCCCGGAGUAGGAAAUGGCAACUUGCUCCAGUAUUCUUGCCUGAAAAAUUCCACGGACAGAGGAGCCUGAUGCAGUGGAAAAGGCAAGAGAGCUGGAAGUGGAGCCUGAAGAUCUGACUGAAUUGCUAUAAUCUCGAGAUAAAACUAAUGCAUGAAGAGUCUUUUAUUCCAGAUUCCACAAACAAGGAAACAAAGACUAACAGUGUUAGUCUUUCUCUGACUUACUUUACUUAGCAGAAUACCCUCAACUUCCUGCCGUCCAUGUUGUCACAGACAGCAAGAUGUCCUUUAUUAUGUAAAGUCCAUACAUUUUUUUAGACCUAAUGUUAUUGCACACCUAAUAGGCUUCAGCACAGUAUAAAUAUAACUUUUACAUGCACUGGGAAAUCAGAAAAAUCUG